UACGGAGGUGGCAAGCGUUGCUCGGAAUCACUGGGCGUAAAGGGCGCGUAGGCGGGGAGGUAAGUCGGGUGUGAAAUCCCUCGGCCCAACCGAGGAACUGCGCCCGAGACUGCUUCUCUUGAGUCCCGGAGAGGAAGAUGGAAUUCCCGGUGUAGCGGUGAAAUGCGCAGAUAUCAGGAAGAACACCAAUGGCGAAAGCAGCUCUCUGGGACGGUACUGACGCUGAGACGCGAAAGCGUGGGGAGCGAACAGG
rnacentral:rRNA from 1 species